GCCGGGCAUGGUGGCGCAUGCCUGUAAUCCCAGCUACUCAGGAGGCUGAGGCAGGAGAAUUGCUUGAACCCUGGAAGCGGAGGUUGCAGUGAGCCGAGAUUACACCCUUGCAAUUCAGCCUGGGUGACAGAGUGAGACUCUGUCUCAA
rnacentral:sRNA from 1 species